ACUGGGCGUAAGCGCAUGCAGGUGGUUUGUUAAGUCAGAUGUGAAAGCCCGGGGCUCAACCUCGGAAUUGCAUUUGAAACUGGCAGACUAGAGUACUGUAGAGGGGGGUAGAAUUUCAGGUGUAGCGGUGAAAUGCGUAGAGAUCUGAAGGAAUACCGGUGGCGAAGGCGGCCCCCUGGACAGAUACUGACACUCAGAUGCGAAAGCGUGGGGAGCAAACAGGAUUAGAUACCCUGGUAGUCCACGCCGUAAACGAUGUCUACUUGAAGGUUGUGGCCUUGAGCCGUGGCUUUCGGAGCUAACGCGUUAAGUAUACCGCCUGGGGAGUACGGUCGCAAGAUUAGAAACUCAAAGGAAUUUGACGGG
rnacentral:rRNA from 1 species